rnacentral:rRNA from 1 species
GACGAACGCUGGCGGCGUGCUUAACACAUGCAAGUCGAACGGAAAGGCCCUGCUUUUGUGGGGUGCUCGAGUGGCGAACGGGUGAGUAACACGUGAGUAACCUGCCCUUGACUUUGGGAUAACUUCAGGAAACUGGGGCUAAUACCGGAUAGGAGCUCCUGCUGCAUGGUGGGGGUUGGAAAGUUUCGGCGGUUGGGGAUGGACUCGCGGCUUAUCAGCUUGUUGGUGGGGUAGUGGCUUACCAAGGCUUUGACGGGUAGCCGGCCUGAGAGGGUGACCGGCCACAUUGGGACUGAGAUACGGCCCAGACUCCUACGGGAGGCAGCAGUGGGGAAUAUUGCAAAAUGGGCGGAAGCCUGAUGCAGCAACGCCGCGUGCGGGAUGACGGCCUUCGGGUUGUAAACCGCUUUCGCCUGUGACGAAGCGUGAGUGACGGUAAUGGGUAAAGAAGCACCGGCUAACUACGUG